UGGCUAUUUUGGGGGUAAUUUUCAGUUCAACUUUUAAAACAAAUGGUACCAGUUUGUUCCCAUGUCAUGAGGAUUCAGAAUAUAUAUAGUUUUCAGGGCUCCAUAUUAUAGUUUGGAAUUUAUCCCAGACAGACAGACCAGACAGACAGGAGACGGAG